AUACGGAGGAUGCGAGCGUUAUCCGGAUUUAUUGGGUUUAAAGGGUGCGUAGGCUGUGCGUUAAGUCAGGGGUGAAAUGCCGUCGCUCAACGACGGAGCUGCCCUUGAUACUGGCGUGCUGGAGUACGGAUGCCGUUGGAGGAAUGAGUGGUGUAGCGGUGAAAUGCUUAGAUAUCACUCAGAACACCGAUUGCGAAGGCAUCUGACGAAUCCGUCACUGACGCUGAGGCACGAAAGCGUGGGGAUAGAACAGGAUUAGAUACCCUGGUAGUCCACGCAGUAAACGAUGAUGACUAACUGUCGGCGAUAUACAGUCGGUAGCCAAGCGAAAGCGAUAAGUCAUCCACCUGGGGAGUACGACCGCAAGGUUGAAACUCAAAUGAAUUGGCGGGG
rnacentral:rRNA from 1 species